UCUCUCUGACCGCUCUCCCUUAUCUCUGUCUCUCCCAAUCUGAGCGGCGGCGGCGGCGGCUCUCAUGCUCUUCCUACACUCUUCUCCCUCAGAUUGAGCUUCACCUCGAAGUGGAGGAUGGUUUCGCCGCCCCGAUGUGGAGGAAGGUCUUACAAGCCAGUUCCACCCCGAAGGGUAUGCGGCCGUCGAUCUGUGUGCGUCUAGCCAUGAAGGGCUCGCCCCUCUCGCGCGCCUCCUCCGCACGGAGCGCUAGCAGCCCACACGGCAUAGAUCCACUAUCCCUGCGUCCGCCUCACGCCUGUCGUAGGUGGCUGCCGCACUAUUCCGUUCCUCCCCCCGCCUACCGCACGCGACAGGCCAUGCUACCAUGCCGUUUUUGUGCAGCCAGACCGCCGCCCCUACCCUCGCGCUCGAGGCAGAGGCUCGCUCUUCAUGGUGGUGACUACGCGUUCCUCCCGGUGGUGGCGCUCUGCCCGCUGUGUUGCCUUUCUCCUAGCGGCUGCGCCCUUCCACCCCUACCUCUAAUCAAUUGAUCCAGCAACAGAGAGAUGAAGCUGCAAAGAAGGGUGAUGAGGAAAAAGCCGGAAAGACAUACAAGAUGACCAGGAACCAUGAAGCUUGCAGUUUACGUUAAUUGUGUAAUGGAGCAGACUAUGAAUCGUUGGACAUGCGUCUAUUAGCUAUCAUUGUGUAAACAUAUAUGGUGUCUCGGUCAAGUGGAUAUUCUCUGUAAUGGAAGACACAUGAUUUGUAGGACACAUAUCUAUUGGCUAUCAUUUUGUAAACCUAUCCGGUCUCUGGGUCACUGAACCAUAAAUGUUUCCUCUUAAUUGGCUACCUCCUGUUUGUGAGAA